UACGGGGGGGGGCAAGCGUUGUUCGGAAUUACUGGGCGUAAAGGGCUCGUAGAUGGCCAACUAAGUCAUACGUGAAAUCCCUCGGCUUAACCGGGGAACUGCGUCUGAUACUGGAUGGCUUGAGGUUGGGAGAGGGAUGCGGAAGUUCCAGGUGUAGCGGUGAAAUGCGUAGAUAUCUGGAGGAACACCGGUGGCGAAGGCGGCAUCCUGGACCAAUUCUGACACUGAGGAGCGAAAGCCAGGGGAGCAAACGGG
rnacentral:rRNA from 1 species